GCAACGAGCGCAACCCUCGCCUUUAGUUGCCAGCACUUCGGGUGGGGCGACUCUAGAGGAACUGCCGGUGACAAGCCGGAGGAAGGUGGGGAUGACGUCAAGUCCUCAUGGCCCUUAUGGGCUGGGCUACACACGUGCUACAAUGGCGGUGACAGAGGGAAGCCAGGUCGCGAGGCCGAGCCGAUCCCUAAAAGCCGUCUCAGUUCAGAUUGGAGUCUGCAACUCGACUCCAUGAAGUUGGAAUCGCUAGUAAUCGCGGAUCAGCAUGCCGCGGUGAAUACGUUCCCGGGCCUU
rnacentral:rRNA from 1 species